rnacentral:lncRNA from 1 species
UCACCUCCUGACCCGUCCCCGAGUCACGGUCCAGCCCGUCCUCGCUCAAGCCGCAAACCGGCAUGCAGCUGACCCCAAGCCGGGGUGCAGCCUACCCGGGGGAGCCGCGGCUUCUUCCCGCCUGGCCAGGCCCCGAGAGGGCUGGCCGGGCGCCAGGGAGGUGAGGUUGGGCUCGGAGGUGGCUGGCGGAUGGCGUAUUACUGUGGAAAGCGAGCGGGGAAGGCGAACGGGAGCACGGAUGGCACCGUACAAGCUUGCCACGUGACCAAAAUGUGUUUAUCUUGUCCGGAGAAGCCUGCGGAGGCCAGCCGGGCUUCCGCGGCACCGCACAACUCCCGCGGACGGGGCUGGGCCCUGCGAGAGAGCGGAGACCGCGUCUAUUUGCUUUCGCUGUCGCUUCGGCUCUUAUCAUUUGCCUUGUCAUUCAUCAUCAACCUCUCCCGAUCUCCCUGCGCCUUUGCCCCCCGCCGCCUCCCCCAGGGCGAAAGCCCAGCUGCGAAAUGCCCCGCAGCUGUAGCCAGUGCUAGAACAGAGUGCCUUGGAACCAGAAAUCAAUGCUCCUGAAAUGAAUAAGUGGACAACUUAUUAGGCUCAGUCACUCCACACGCCAUCCCCUGAUAACUAAUAGAUGAAGUAAGAGCUGGAGAAGGGACGCAUCCGGGAAGGCCCCACAUGCCCACUCCUUCGUGGCAAGGCCGGCUAAUUCUACAUCCACCGCCGGGCAUCCCCGGCCAGUGCAGGGCAAGGGGAUGCGACACGGCACUCGCAAGCUGCCUGGGGUCAGAUGGCGAUAAGGACGGCGAGUGUCUGGGAGAACGGCCCCGGGAGUCAUUGAUAAAGGUGUCCGGUUUCCCUGCUCGCUCCCGAAAGCAAAACCGACAGGUUCAGCAACAUCACGUAAUCGUGGCGUCUCUGCCUAGAAACAGUCGCGCUAAUUUUGCAUUUUUACCAUCCACGGGGAGGAAAAAUACCUGUCCUCCCGCAAUGCAAAUCCUUAUGUAAAUAGAUCUGCGGCCACCCUGACCUCCCAGCCAAGAGUCGUUGGGCCGGGAUUCAGCCGCCCCGGGGGGCAGCACCACAAACCCCGAAAGCACAAACGGGAUCGGGCAAACGCCCCGGCAGCCCCUCUCAAACUCGCUGCUAGCUGGCAAAAGUCCGAGCAGGAGCCUGCGGUUAAGCUCCGAGGCCUUCAUGCAUCCCUGGCGAUCAGCGCCCCAGCGCUAAGUGCAAUUAACAUAACAGACACUAAAAUAGGAGAGAGCGGCGCUGAAUUUAAUUUGCAG